GCGCGAUGACUUACGGGGAUAAUCCGGCGGAGUACAACCCGAAGCUCCACGGACCUUACAAUCCUGUCCGUUACUAAGGUAAGCCGGAUACGCC
rfam:Aedes aegypti strain Liverpool supercont1.136 genomic scaffold, whole genome shotgun sequence.